UUUCUAAACCUUUUUGUCAUAUCACACGAUUCAGAUUAAAUUUAUGUCUUCUUCGAAACGUUAUGUUCAAAGUGUGAAAGUAACGUGCAGUAUUUGAUCGGUACGUGUUCACUCAUAGAUCAUAUCGGCCUAGUACUACUCAAAUAUGUAAAUGAAUAAGAGAAUGGCUUACAUACUGCCUGCUCUUCUUACUUUGACGAUUUUCCAUCCGACUUGGGCUUCUCUUGUUAAAAUAGAGGAGAACGGAUAUACUGACGUCGUUGUUGCCAUUAGCAGAGAUGUCUCAGAGAACACAGAGAUCAUAUCGCAGUUGAAGCAAAUGUUCAGCGAUGCGUCUCCAUAUCUUUAUAAUGCAACCAGAAAGCGUGCAUAUCUUAAAAGAAUCAGUAUUCUGGUUCCAGACACAUGGAGUGACAAAAAGGAAUAUCAAAAUGCAAAUCUAGAAACCUUUGAAAAUGCAGACUUUAGGGUUGAUAUGGGAAAUCCAUACAACAACCCGUAUACCAGACAACUUGGCCAUUGUGGUGAACCCGCAAGCUAUUGUCAUCUGACCCCUGAUUAUGUUUUAGAUACGCACAAUGACCGGCAAACAAGAUGGGGUCCACCAGGGCUCGUAAUUGUCCAUGAGUUUUCACACUUACGUUAUGGCGUGUUCGACGAGUAUGGUAUUGCGAACAGUAACGUCACUCCGCUGUUUUACAUUGGACAAAAUGGCAAACCUGCAUACACGGGAUGCACGGAUAAGAUAAAAGGUAAAUUCAGAAAUAAAGACACAAACAAUCGUUGUAGGCGCACACCAACCGGUCUACCAGAGGCUGACUGUAGAUUUAUACCAGAUCUCCAUCAAACCACGAAGGCCUCGUUGUUAUACUUGCUUCUUGACUCUGUGGCACAUUUUUGUGAAUCUAACUCCUCAGACCUAGAUCUGCAACACAAUACAUUGGCCCCUAAUCUACAAAAUAAGAAGUGUAGCAGAAGAGGGACAUGGGACGUCAUUUUAGACCACAAUGAUUUUGCUAACAACAACAACAACAACAACAACAACCCCCCAAGAGAUAUUAAUGACGUUAGCCCAGACAUUCAAGUACUUUACAGAAGACCAAAGGGGAUUUGUAAACGGAUGGUAUUGGUGCUGGAUAAGUCAAAUAGCAUGGAAAAAAAGAACAGACUUUUUGUUUUGGCGCAAGCAGCCUACAAAUUCAUAAUCAGCACGGUACCAGAUGGUGUGGAGCUUGGUAUUGUCGUGUUUGAUGAAACAGCUCGAGUCACACACUCUAUGCAGCACAUACAGACACAACAGGAUCGUGAGAGUCUCGUUGCGGCGUUACCAACAACGUUUAAACUUUGGACGGCUAUAGGGAGCGGGGUUGUCGAAGCCAUGGAUUUGUUAAAAGAGGGCGGAGGUGUCACUGCCGGUGCUAAGAUGUUCGUAUUAUCAGAUGGUCAGGAAACCGACCAUGGACCAAGUAUUAAUGAAGUGUUGGACUCUGGACUUUUUGAUAACACUGGUGUAACUGUUGAUGUCAUUGCUUUUAGCAGCACGGCGGCAGACGAUUUAGAGAAGCUAGCACAAAGAACCGGUGGCAGUGCAUUUUUCUAUUCUGAGGAUCCUAGCUCUACUGCGCUUGAAGAUGCAUUCACCAGAUCACUGGGUGACACUAGGUAUUGCGCAGGAAUUCAGCCAGUUGAGGUGGGUGCGACUGUGUUUAAGCUACAUUGAAUUGAUAAUUUAUUUUGAUACAUUAAUACUUUUACAGUGAUUGGAUUUUGGAACCACAGUCUAUUAGAGAGAUGCAUUCUGAAUGAUGCUUACGUUAUUGUCCAGCACCUUUUGUCAUGAAAAAUAUCUGCCCAAAUUCACAAAUUUUCAUAUGAAAGAACUGAGAAGAUCAUUUACAGCAUGUUUUUUUCUCGUGCACUGUAAGUCCAAUUUCAGACACCGACCAUUACUCUUUCUAGGUUCGGAGCGAACGUGUUUUUGAAACAUCAUCUUCCACGAGUCAGUAUCCAAUCUUCAUUGAUUCAUCUCUUGGAAGAGACACCACAUUCAUGUUUACUCCGCCACCAAGUGUCAGGAACAUAGGAUCCUUAAUGAUAACUGUCUCUAGUCCUAGUGGACAGAACUAUACAAUAUUAUCUCCAGAGUCCUCAGAACACCCUGACUUCUUAGUUAUCCAGAUUGUUAUACUAGGUGUAUCAGAGUCAGGAUAUUGGAGAUACACCAUACAAAAUGGCGGACAAGACGGGUAUAUUGGAGUAAAUAUACGAUCUAGUCCAAAAACAACUUCAGGAGGUAUAACAUUGAAAGCCUGGAUAAAUAAGCUGCAAGUGAGCGUUCCAGUCGAAACUGUCAUAGUAUAUGCGGAGAUAGCACAGGGCUAUUCACCAGUCAUAAGCGCCCAUGUUGAAGCAACUAUUGAACUACCAGGACAACGUUUCACUAAAAUCUUACUUCACGACAAUGGCAUAGGUAAUCAGGAUGUAACCCAGAUAUCGAGUUAGCUCCCUGUAGACUUAUUGGCAUGUUUCAGUAAUAGUUACUAUCAUCGCCAGAAUUAGAGUCACUACAUAGUAUGUUACCAGUGAUUAUUUCUGAAACUUACUUAACAUUUUACUGUUGUUUCAUAUUUAGGCAGUGAUAAUUUCAAAGAUGAUGGGGUGUAUUCCAAUUUCUUCCCCGACGUCAGUGGAGAUGACCGUUAUGCUGUCACUGUGAGUGCCAGUAAUCCAAGUGGGAAUGCAGUGUUACAACAUCGUGCUUCGGCUGUCAGUGGAGCCUAUGACCAGUUGCAAGUUGAAGAAAAAAUCACAUUGGAAGAUAUAGGCGACUUUAACAGGCAAUCGUCUGGUGGUUCAUUCAAGGUGGAAAACUCGGACAGGAAGGAAGAAUAUCCUCCAGGUAGAGUGGAAGAUUUAUCAAUCGAGAGCAUGUCACUUGAAGAAAGGACAGUGACCUUGAUCUGGACAGCACCUGGUCAAAAUGCGUUCUCUGGAAUAGGUAGGAUUUAAAACCGGAAGUGAUUGAAACUGCACACUCGUGAAAUACAUUGUUUGACUUUGUAAUGACAAGAUAUUUGAUUAAAACCUGCAUCUUACUCACUUGUAAAACGAUUAUUUGUUGCUAGUGUCUGGAUUUGAGAUAUUCGUGCAUCACAAAAUGGAGGCCCUUGUUGCCAACCAUCUCCAUGGUUACGUGGUACACGAAUUAGACCUGGUGGAUGGAUCACUAGAACCACUGCCAGCAUACAACAAGCACAGAAUUGUGAUCAGACUACCAAAGUUUGGCGCUGAAAACGAGACGUCUUACAGUUUCGUCAUGUGGUCU
rnacentral:misc_RNA from 1 species